rnacentral:pre_miRNA from 1 species
AGGAGGAACAACCCCAGUGGCGGUGGCCAGCUCUGGAGCCCUGGAGUCAGCUCCCACAGUAACUUCGGAGCUGUCCAUCUGCAGGUCCUGGAGGCUCCGGGGCAGG